UACAGAGGGUGCAAGCGUUAAUCGGAAUUACUGGGCGUAAAGCGUGCGCAGGCGGCUUUGCAAGACAGAUGUGAAAUCCCCGGGCUUAACCUGGGAACUGCAUUUGUGACUGCAUGGCUGGAGUGCGGCAGAGGGGGAUGGAAUUCCGCGUGUAGCAGUGAAAUGCGUAGAUAUGCGGAGGAACACCGAUGGCGAAGGCGACAUCCUGGACCGGUAUUGACGCUGAGGCGCGAAAGCCAGGGGAGCGAACGGG
rnacentral:rRNA from 1 species